CAGUCGCCGCGGUAAUACGUAGGGUGCGAGCGUUAAUCGGAAUUACUGGGCGUAAAGCGUGCGCAGGCGGUUCGUUAAGACAGAUGUGAAAUCCCCGGGCUUAACCUGGGAACUGCAUUUGUGACUGGCGAGCUAGAGUAUGGCAGAUGGGGGUAGAAUUCCACGUGUAGCAGUGAAAUGCGUAGAGAUGUGGAGGAAUACCGAUGGCGAAGGCAGCCCCCUGGGCCAAUACUGACGCUCAUGCACGAAAGCGUGGGGAGCAAACAGGAUUAGAUACCCCGGUAGUCCCUGUCUCUUAUAC
rnacentral:rRNA from 1 species